ensembl:lncRNA
AUGUACUGCACUGGAAUUAUCCCUCCAAACAUGUACUGCACUGGAAUUAUCCCUCUACACAUGUACUGUACUGGAAUUAUCCCUCUACACAUGUCCUGUACUGGAAUUAUCCCUCCAAACAUGUACUGCACUGGAAUUAUCCCCUUACACAUGUACUGCACUGGAAUUAUCCCUCUACACAUGUCCUGCACUGGAAUUGUCCAUCUACACAUGUACUGUACUGGAAUUAUCCCUCUACAAAUGCACUGUACUGCACUGGAAUUAUCCCUCUACACAUGUACUGUAAUUAUCCCCUUACACAUGUACUGUACUGGAAUUAUACCUCUACACCCUUUACACAUGUACUGCACUGGAAUUUUCCCUCCACAGCCUUUACACAUGUACUGCACUGGAAUUAUCCCUCUACACAUGUACUGCACUGGAAUUAUCCCUCUACACAUGUACUGUACUGGAAUUAUCCCUCUAGACAUGUACUGUACUGGAAUUAUCCAAUUGGAUACGUGCAGAAACGUGCUGUUUUUUUUAUUUGGCCAUCAAAAUUGUCUCAGUGAUUUUUCUGAUUGGUUACAUUUCAGUCACAUGUACAUAAGAGAGAGAGGUGGUGUCUGAUGUCUGCAGGUCAAUGCAACUGAGAAAUAUGAUCCUUGUAAUUAUUCGAUGUGAAUAUCAGCAGUGGUAAUGAUUGUGAAAUAUUUUGUUCAUUUCAUCAGAGCAACAUAAUAAUGAAUGAUUUCUGAACAACCAUUUUUUAUUUAAUGUCUAUUAAGAGUAUCUUAUCAACUUUAUUUCACUUGGUGAUGUUUCAUUAUAGAGAACAUAACAUGACAAUACAUGACAUCUAAGUAGCUAAAUAUGAUUAUGGACUAACAAUCUAACAGUUUGAAGGGCACAACUCAUGUUAUUCUGGUUAAACAGUGAGAGACAGGUUGAUAAAGGAGUGGGGAUUUUUUGACAAUUAGGAAAUAAUAUGUCAUGUUUUACUCGUACCUCAGCCAGCAUUGUGAAUGGUUAGGAAAUAAUAUGUCAUGUUUUACUGGUACCUCAGCCAGCAUUGUGAAUGGUUAGGAAAUAAUAUGUCAUGUUUUACUCAUACCUCAGCCAGCAUUGUGAAUGGUUAAGAAAUAAUAUGUCAUGAUUUACUCGUACCUCAGCCAGCAUUGUGAAUGGUUAGGAAAUAAUAUGUCAUGUUUUACUCAUACCUCAGCCAGCAUUGUGAAUGGUUAGGAAAUAAUAGGUCAUGAUUUACUCGUAUCUCAGACAGCAUUGUGAAUGGUUAGGAAAUAAUAUGUCAUGUAACUUUUGUUACACCAUGUAGGAGCAGUAUAGACCUAGUCUGUUCAUUAUAUACAGUGGGGAGAACAAGUAUUUGAUACUGCCAAUUUUGCAAGUUUUCCUACUUACAAAGCAUGUAGAGGUCUGUAAUUUUUAUCAUAGGUACACUUCAACUGUGAGAGACGGAAUCUAAAACAAAAAUCCAGAAAAUCACAUUGUAUAUUUUUAAGUAAUUAAUUUGCAUUUUAUUGCAUGACAUAAGUAUUUGAUCACCUACCAACCAGUAAGAAUUCCGGCUCUCACAGACCUGUGUCACGUUCUGACCUUUAUUUUCAUUUGUUUACAGACCUCUACAUGCUUUGUAAGUAGGAAAACCUGCAAAAUCGGCAGUGUAUCAAAUACUUGUUCUCCCCACUGUACAUUAUGUAUUCUUACACACACAAAAAAUCAAGGGACAUUUAUAUUAUUUUAUUAUGAUACAAUUGCUCAGAGAAAGUCCGAAGACUGAGAUGGCCAUAAAAAAUGUUGAAUUUGUGCCAAAUUAACAGUUUAUUUCUGGAUGUUGAUGUGUCUUGCUGGAAGAUCUACUUAUGGCCAAGUUUCAGCCUCCUAGCAGAGAGGUAACCCGGUUUUGGGCUAAAAUAUCCUGGUAGUGGGUAAAGUUUAUUUAUUUUAUACAUACAUUUUUGCUCAUCUUGAUCAAGGGUAUCAAUAACUAGGUGCUUAUUUUGAUAUAUUUGAUAUAUAUAUUUUGAUAUUUGACUGAAUCAGAAAUACAGAUGUGGAGUAGAUGUUUUAAAUUCUCAUAAAAAAUCUGAACUAAUCAAACAACACUUGUUGCUCUUUGUACGUGUUGAUAUAAUAUUCUUAUUUAAUGGAGAGGAAAAAAACGCUUAUUUAAACUGCUUUAUAAUAUU